AUGUGGGUUCCUCCGGCCGCGCCGUCUCAGCGGCGGCGGCGCCCGCGGCCAGCGCGAGGGCGAAGAGGAGCACGGCGCCGUACGCCGGCGCACCCAUGGCGGAGCGCCUCCUCUGCUCUAGCUGCUCUAUCUGCUGCUGCUGCUGCGUCGGCGGCGGAGGACGGGGAUGCGUCGGCGGCGGUGGAUUUGCGGUGGUGGCGAGCUGAUGUUGCUGCUAUUCCAGCUAGCAAGCUCCUGGGGAGGGGGGGAGAGGGGAGUAACUAUAUGGUGUUGGGUGGUGUGAGCUUUUCUUCCCCCUCUUUUGUUUAG
rnacentral:rRNA from 1 species